AUUGAACGCUGGCGGCAUGCCUUACGCAUGCAAGUCGAACGGUAUCGGGCCUUCGGGUGCCGACGAGUGGCGAACGGGUGAGUAAUGUAUCGGAACGUACCUUUCAGUGGGGGAUAACGUAGCGAAAGUUGCGCUAAUACCGCAUAUUCUGUGAGCAGGAAAGCAGGGGAUCGCAAGACCUUGCGCUGAUUGAGCGGCCGAUAUCAGAGUUAGCUAGUUGGUGAGGUAAAGGCUCACCAAGGCGACGAUCUGUAGCGGGUCUGAGAGGAUGAUCCGCCAACCUGGAACUGAGACACGGUCCAGACUCCUACGGGAGGCAGCAGUGGGGAAUUUUGAACAAUGGGGGCAACCCUGAUCCAGCCAUGCCGCGUGAGUGAAGAAGGCCUUCGGGUUGUAAAGCUCUUUCGGCCGGGAAGAAAUCGUAUCAGCUAAUACCUGGUGCGGAUGACGGUACCGGCAUAAGAAGCACCGGCUAACUACGUGCCAGCCGCCGCCGUAACAC
rnacentral:rRNA from 1 species